rnacentral:tRNA from 1 species
GGGGGACUGGCGCAACGGUAGCGCGUCGGAUUCCAGAGUUAGCGCUCGGAAAAACCCGAAGGGUGUCCGUUCGAAUCGGGCGUUCCUCA